ACCCACUAAAGUCAGAGUAUCCUUUAUCAUUGCGAUCUAAUCAAUGUUUAGCAUGACCAAUAAAAGUGCAGACUUCAUCACCUACAUUACUGUCUAAUCUACUGCAAAAAACUGUCCCGACAAUUGUAGAGCGUAUUAGAGCACUUUCAUUAAAGAUAAAACUAAGAAGAGACGAAGAAAGAAGUGACUGACGGGGAGCAAGCACAGAACGAAGCUGAGGGAACAAUCAG